CGUGAGCAACCUGCCUUUGUGUGGGGGAGUAACGUCUGGAAACGGACGCUAAUACCGCAUAAUGCUGAGAUACCGCAUGGUAAUUCAGCCAAAGAUUUAUCGCACAGAGAUGGGCUCGCGGCUGAUUAGCUAGUUGGUGAGGUAACGGCCCACCAAGGCGACGAUCAGUAGCCGGACUGAGAGGUUGAUCGGCCACAUUGGGACUGAGACACGGCCCAG
rnacentral:rRNA from 1 species